rnacentral:rRNA from 1 species
CUACGGGGUGCUCCAGUGGGGAAUAUUGCACAAUGGAGGAAACUCUGAUGCAGCAACGCCGCGUGGAGGAUGACGCAUUUCGGUGUGUAAACUCCUUUUAUAUGUCAAGAAAAUGACGGUAGCAUAUGAAUAAGCACCGGCUAACUCCGUGCCAGCAGCCGCGGUAAUACGGAGGGUGCAAGCGUUACUCGGAAUCACUGGGCGUAAAGGACGCGUAGGCGGGAUAUCAAGUCAGGUGUGAAAUCCUACAGCUUAACUGUAGAACUGCACUUGAAACUGGUAACCUAGAGUAUGGGAGGGGGAGAUGGAAUUAGUGGUGUAGGGGUAAAAUCCGUAGAUAUCACUAGGAAUACCUAAAGCGAAGGCGAUCUCCUGGAACAUUACUGACGCUAAGGCGUGAAAGCGUGGGGAGCAAACAGGAUUAGAUACCCUUGUAGUC